GGGAGGAGGGAGAGAGAAACACCAAUGUGAGAGAGAAAUAUCCAUGGGUUGCCUCCCGCAGGCACCCCUGACGGGGGCGAGGGAUGGAAAUGCAACCCAGGUACACGCCCUUGACCGAGAAUGGAACUCAGGACCCUGGGGCGGGUGGCCCAAGCUCUAACCAUUGAGCGCAUCAAGCAGAGCUGCUUUAGUGUCUCUGCUUUUGCUCAGUGAUGACACCGCCAUCUGCUCUGUGUCUGCUCUGCCGUUGGUGAUACCAGAAGGAGGUGACUAUCCAGUAAUUGGGCUUCAUGCUGCUUUGUUCCUGUUUAGCGGGAGAACGAGAAUUCCAAGAGAAAAAAUGUCAAGAAUUGCUUUAUUAAAAAAUGUAAUUGAGGAAAUAACACCAUAAUCACAAGAGAGAGAGGAAGGAAGAUGGAGAACAA